AGAGUUUGAUCCUGGCUCAGAACGAACGCUGGCGGCAUGCCUAACACAUGCAAGUCGAACGCCUGUAGCAAUACAGGAGUGGCGCACGGGUGAGUAACGCGUGGGAACCUGCCCUGGAGUGGGGGAUAACCGAGAGAAAUUUCGGCUAAUACCGCAUACGACCUGAGGGUGAAAGAUUUAUCGCUCUAGGAGGGGCCCGCGUCGGAUUAGCUAGUUGGUGGGGUAACGGCCUACCAAGGCUACGAUCCGUAGCUGGUCUGAGAGGAUGACCAGCCACACUGGGACUGAGACACGGCCCAGACUCCUACGGGAGGCAGCAGUGGGGAAUAUUGGACAAUGGGCGAAAGCCUGAUCCAGCAAUGCCGCGUGAGUGAUGAAGGCCUUAGGGUUGUAAAGCUCUUUCGGCGGGGACGAUGAUGACGGUACCCGCAGAAGAAGCCCCGGCUAACUUCGUGCCAGCAGCCGCGGUAAUACGAAGGGGGCGAGCGUUGUUCGGAAUUACUGGGCGUAAAGGGCGCGCAGGCGGCUCAGACAGUCAGAUGUGAAAGCCCCGGGCUUAACCUGGGAACUGCAUUUGAUACUACUGAGCUUGAGUACGGGAGAGGAUAGUGGAAUUCCCAGUGUAGAGGUGAAAUUCGUAGAUAUUGGGAAGAACACCGGCGGCGAAGGCGGCUAUCUGGACCGUAACUGACGCUGAGGCGCGAAAGCGUGGGGAGCAAACAGGAUUAGAUACCCUAGUAGUCC
rnacentral:rRNA from 1 species